rnacentral:rRNA from 1 species
AGCCAUGCCGCGUGUGUGAAGAAGGCCUUCGGGUUGUAAAGCACUUUCAGUCGUGAGGAAGNUNGUGUAGUUAAUAGCUGCAUUAUUUGACGUUAGCGACAGAAGAAGCACCGGCUAACUCCGUGCCAGCAGCCGCGGUAAUACGGAGGGUGCGAGCGUUAAUCGGAAUUACUGGGCGUAAAGCGCAUGCAGGUGGUUUGUUAAGUCAGAUGUGAAAGCCCGGGGCUCAACCUCGGAAUUGCAUUUGAAACUGGCAGACUAGAGUACUGUAGAGGGGGGURGAAUUUCAGGUGUAGCGGUGAAAUGCGUAGAGAUCUGAAGGAAUACCGGUGGCGAAGGCGGCCCCCUGGACAGAUACUGACACUCAGAUGCGAAAGCGUGGGGAGCAAACAGGAUUAGAUACCCUGGUAGUCCACGCCGUAAACGAUGUCUACUUGGAGGUUGUGGCCUUGAGCCGUGGCUUUCGGAGCUAACGCGUUAAGUAGACCGCCUGGGGAGUACGGUCGCAAGAUUAAAA